rnacentral:rRNA from 1 species
CUGCUGCCUCCCGUAGGAGUCUGGGCCGUGUCUCAGUCCCAGUGUGGCCGUCCACCCUCUCAGGCCGGCUGCUGAUCGUCGCUUUGGUGGGCCGUUACCCCGCCAACUGGCUAAUCAGACGCGGGCCCAUCCUGUAUCACCGGAGUUUUCAAAGGAUUACCAUGCGGUAUUCCCUAUUAUGCGGUAUUAGCACCUAUUUCUAAGUGUUAUCCCCCGGUACAGGGCAGGUUGCCCACGCGUUACUCACCCGUCCGCCACUAAGA